rnacentral:rRNA from 1 species
GAUGAACGCUGGCGGCGUGCCUAAUACAUGCAAGUCGAGCGAACGGACGAGAAGCUUGCUCCCCUGAUGUUAGCGGCGGACGGGUGAGUAACACGUGGAUAACCUACCUAUAAGACUGGGAUAACUUCGGGAAACCGUAGCUAAUACCGGAUAAAUUUUUGAACCGAAUGGUUCAUAAGUGUAAGACGGUCUUGCUGUCACUUAUAGAUGGAUCCGCGCUGCAUUAGCUAGUAGGUAAGGUAACGGCUUACCAAGGCAAGGAUGCAUAGCCGACCUGAGAGGGUGAUCGGCCACACUGGAACUGAGACACGGUCCAGACUCCGACGGUAGGCAGCAGUAGGGAAUCUUACGCAAGGGGCGAAAGCCUGACGGAGCAACGCCGCGUGAGUGAUGAAGGUCUUCGGAUCGUAAAACUCUGUUAUUAGGGAAGAACAAAUGUGUAAGUAACUGUGCACAUCUUGACGGUACCUAAUCAGAAAGCCACGGCUAACUACGUG